AAGUGCCAUACGAAUUUUCCUUAUGUAUAUAUAUUUUUUUGUUUACUAACUCUUUAUGUUUUUUCGUAGGCUUGUUAUAUGGCUCAUGCAUGCUACAGUGUCGAUACCAUUCACGACACUGAGAAUAUACAAGAAAAAUACAAUCAGCUUGACGCGAAGUUCAAGGAAAGCGAGAAAUCUCUUGCCAAGCUGAAAAAUGUGAAGUCCCG
rnacentral:lncRNA from 1 species